rnacentral:rRNA from 1 species
CCUACGGGAGGCAGCAGUUAGGAAUCUUCCGCAAUGGGCGCAAGCCUGACGGAGCGACGCCGCUUGGAGGAGGAAGCCCUUCGGGGUGUAAACUCCUGAACCCGGGACGAAACCCCCGAUGAGGGGACUGACGGUACCGGGGUAAUAGCGCCGGCCAACUCCGUGCCAGCAGCCGCGGUAAUACGGAGGGCGCGAGCGUUACCCGGAUUUACUGGGCGUAAAGGGCGUGUAGGCGGCUUGGGGCGUCCCAUGUGAAAGGCCACGGCUCAACCGUGGAGGAGCGUGGGAUACGCUCAGGCUAGACGGUGGGAGAGGGUGGUGGAAUUCCCGGAGUAGCGGUGAAAUGCGCAGAUACCGGGAGGAACGCCGAUGGCGAAGGCAGCCACCUGGUCCACUCGUGACGCUGAGGCGCGAAAGCGUGGGGAGCAAACCGGAUUAGAUACCCGGGUAGUCCACGCCCUAAACGAUGCGCGCUAGGUCUCUGGGUUAUCUGGGGGCCGAAGCUAACGCGUUAAGCGCGCCGCCUGGGGAGUACGGCCGCAAGGCUGAAACUCAAAGGAAUUGACGG